rnacentral:rRNA from 1 species
UACGUAGGGUGCGAGCGUUAAUCGGAAUUACUGGGCGUAAAGAGUGCGUAGGCGGUCCCGCAAGUCCGCUGUGAAAGCCCCCGGGCUUAACCUGGGAAUGGCAGUGGAAACUAUGGGACUUGAAUCUGGCAGAGGGGGGUGGAAUGCCACGUGUAGCAGUGAAAUGCGUAGAGAUGUGGCGGAACACCGAUGGCGAAGGCAGCCCCCUGGGCUGAGAUUGACGCUCAGGCACGAAAGCGUGGGGAGCAAACAGG